AUGGCGCGACACGGGAGUCCCGGGAGCGGGGACUGAGAGUGGGCCCGCCGCGCCCUUACCGUCACACCUGAUCCGGGUCAUGCCGGCGAAGGGAGGGAUCUUGGUUUCAGG
rnacentral:ncRNA from 1 species